GCUCCCGGGUCCAGGGGAAGCUGGAGGAGGCUGGGGCCCAAAUGUCUGAUUACCAAGAGGGGAGGAAACCGGCAAGACGAGGGUUGCUAUGUGACAUACAGAAAAAUAUGAUCAGGGCAGAGGAAGCAAUUGCUUUUGGCGGAAGCUUCAUUGGAUGGCAAUUUCGACACCAAGGCCUCCCUUCCCACCCUGAGCCUGCCCACUGGGGAAUUCCAGGAGCUGGCCCAGAGGAAGGGAGAGGGGACGGCAAGUGAGAGGAGGAGGCAGGGUCAACACAGCCCCAUCCCCAACAGCCUAAGGACACAAACUGCACCCAGGAAGGAGUCUGACCUGUGGGCCUGGAUUCUGGGGCCCCAGAGAAGCCCCGGGCCCAGGACCGGGAGAGCGAGAAGGAAGUUCCGACAGAGCCCGGCAUGUGGGGUUACCUGUCUGUGCUGCCCGCUUUCCUGGCCUUUUCCGCUAUCACUGGAGUCUGGAGUGUUUUUGCCCUUGCCGUGACCAACAGGUCUGUGAACCUCACGGAAGGUUUCCCCUAUAUCAGCCUCUGCGGGUCUUACCCCCCUCAGAGCUGCAUCUUCAGCCAGCUGCUCAACAUGGGAGCUGCUAUGGGAGUCCGGGCCGGCUUGCCCGCCCACUUCCCUCUCCUCCCAGCCGCCUGGAUCUGCAUUAUCCGUUACCACCAGCUCCGGGACUGGGGAGUCAGAAAAUGGUUUAACCGGCUGAUCCUGUGGACGGGGCUCCUGUGUGCCCUGGGCACCUCCGUGGUGGGCAACUUCCAGCAAAAGAACCAGCUGCAGAUGCACCUGGUCGGGGCCUUCUUCGCCUUAUUCAUGGGCAACUCCUACUUUUGGCUGCAGCUUAUUCUUGUCUGGUGCACGAAGAGACUGCCCCAGCCCGGGGCCCCCUGGAUCGGGCCACUCCGUCUGGGCCUCUGCAGCCUCUGCACCAUCCUCUUGGUGACCAUGAUGAUCCUCCACUUCUGGCCGCUGCGCUCGGCCUCGGCCGCCUGCGAGUGGGCCAUCGCCAUGCUGCUGUUUGCACUCUUUGGCCUGGUUGCGGUGGACUUUUCCUGCCUGGACGGCUGCACCCUGCACCUCCAGCCGGGCCACCUCAGCUCCCCGCCAGCCUCCCCCACCUCCCUGCAGAUCCACCUGUGAACAGUAGCCCGAGUGACGAGGUCUGGGCCCCCUCCCUCCGUGCUGCCAUCAGGGCCACCCAGGAAAGACACGGACGCAGGCAGGGUCACGCGAAACCAGAAUUCCUUCCGGAGAGCAAAUCCGUACAGAAGGAUAAAGGAGGGCCCCACGGCUUCGGACGCCACCCACCUGCCAGGGCCUGCACGGAGGGCUGGUCGUGAGUGCUCAGCAGCUGCGCCUGGAUGGUCUCCACCACUCGCUUGAACCGACGGCUGGGACCUGGAGGGGAAGGAGAUGGGCUGACUUGGGGACAGAGACAGAAAAGGCCCUCCCACCCUGUGGAAACCAGCAAAGGACUCGCCUCCUCUUGGGCUCAAUUUCAGGCCCUGUGUUGGGACUAGGUAUAGACCCGCGAUUUGCAAAUGGGAUGAGAAAGAUUGGAGUUAAAAUAAUGAUGGGUGUGGCUUUCUAUUUAUCGUGUUAGUUUCCAGCUGAGGCCACGAAGAGCCAGAAAUAUAAGAAAAAUAAACAGGAAGUUAAAAAAAA